UCCCUCUAAUCCAAUUUUAAUGCAUGUCAAGGAGCCAAAAAUAUGCAGUACAGGAUGAAGAGAUUGCUGCAGAGUUUGCUUUCAUCUUAGUUCUAAUCUAUGAAAGUUUUGUAACAGAACAGUUUUUAAACUUUAAUUAGUUAUAGUAAUAAGAAGUCACUCCUGAUAAUGGGAUUAUGGAAAAGUGCAAUCUUAAGAUUCCAAGUCUAUAACAUAUAAGAAAUGAUGCCGGAAAUAAAAAGAAGCAACAUAAAUCACAAAGCACACCUAUCGCCUACUAUUCAGGUUGAUCAGAAUGUCUCAAAAAUUAAAUCCAGCUUUGUCAAGAAAAUAAAUUUCCCUCAAAUCAGGUGCCAGUCCAGCUUCCCACAAGCUACUAUAUAAUCGCAGGGCUUUCUAAGAUCUUCAGAUAGUGUAAAGUUGGGACCAAGAGGUUAAAUGCCUGAAAAUUAACUGACAAGCUUCCAUUUUAUGAGGUACACAGCCAGCAUUAUGGAUCAAAGCUCCAUCAACAUCAAGGCUUAAAAUGUUUGCAAGUGAUUCAUGCAUUUAUUUCAUCCCUCCAAAAUAGGUUUUGAAGAUACUCUGGGCAAUAGAAAGCCUGCCAUGAAACCAACGAAACCAAUUGGGCGGUAGUAGGAAACAAUUUAUAUGUCAUAGUCU
rnacentral:lncRNA from 1 species